ACUCCUACGGGAGGCAGCAGUGAGGAAUAUUGGACAAUGGGCGCAAGCCUGAUCCAGCCAUGCCGCGUGCAGGAUGACGGUCCUAUGGAUUGUAAACUGCUUUUGUACGAGAAGAAACACUCCUUCGUGAAGGAGCUUGACGGUAUCGUAAGAAUAAGGAUCGGCUAACUCCGUGCCAGCAGCCGCGGUAAUACGGAGGAUCCAAGCGUUAUCCGGAAUCAUUGGGUUUGAAGGGUCCGUAGGCGGUCAGGUAAGUCAGUGGUGAAAGCCCAUCGCUCAACGGUGGAACGGCCAUUGAUACUGCUUGACUUGAAUUAUUAGGAAGUAACUAGAAUAUGUAGUGUAGCGGUGAAAUGCUUAGAGAUUACAUGGAAUACCAAUUGCGAAGGCAGGUUACUACUAAUGGAUUGACGCUGAUGGACGAAAGCGUGGGUAGCGAACAGGAUUAGAUACCCUGGUAGUCCACGCCGUAAACGAUGGAUACUAGCUGUUGGAAGCAAUUUCAGUGGCUAAGCGAA
rnacentral:rRNA from 1 species